GCAAAGUCUCCUAUCCUUUCUGGGCUCGGGAUCAACACAUCUAGUAGUCAGAAGGCUAUUUCCAUUUUCCUGCGUGCUCCAGGUGGGGAGGAUGGGGAGUUCUCUUAAAGUCUGAGAAGAGGAUGGCUCCUGCCAUGCCCAAGAUUCACAGAGCUCUUACGCAGCCUCUUUCUCAUCCAUCCGCCCAUCCUUGAUGCCUGCCUUAGAAACAGAGGACAUGACCCCUCGGCCUUGAGGACGGGAGAGACAGACUUCUACAAAAAAUGACAGCAUGUCGAGGAGGGACGGUCUGCAGGCACUGAGCCAAGCCAGUGCAGGAGAUGGAAAUGAUGUCCUCUGACACCAAAAGAGACAACUCACAUUUGACCCGGCUUUUCCCUGUCAAUCAAUGGGUGAAGCACAUUUUAACGAGAGGGGUAUCACUCUUGGAUGCUUUGAGUUGACAGCACCUCUGCUCUACCAACAAACCCGACACCUCGUCAACACCAAACCAAGCUCCUUAGAGUUUGCCCACGAGGAAUCACCUGGAGAACAUGGGGAUUUGGAUUCGCUAAGGACUCGGGAUUGUGACUGUUUGACAAGAGCCUCGGGUGCCCCAAGUGGACAGGACAGUUUGGGAAAUGCUGCCGCAGAAGUGUGGGAGGGAUGUGGCCACAGCUGGGAGGCUUUGGCAGGGCACCAGAGGCGGGGACUUCUUUGCGGGACUCCCAUGUUUACCAGGUGCCCUCUCUACAGCAGGAGAAUGCCUGCCCUUGGCCUUGACAUUGCUUUGGUGUUCAGUCUUGGGCAAGCUCCUUCCUGUCUAUAAUAUGGGAACACAUGGCUGAAGGCCGGGACACGUGGCAGACGCAAUGGAGGGAAGCACCCAUGGAAGGGGGAUGGUGGAGAAGCAGCCAGGCACGACGUGGUGUCCAUCUUGCAAGGGGG
rnacentral:lncRNA from 1 species